rnacentral:rRNA from 1 species
AGACACGGCCCAUACUCCUACGGGAGGCGGGGGUGGGGGAAUCUUGGACAAAUGGGGGCAAACCCUGAUCCCACCAAUGCCGCGUGGGUGAAGAAGGCCUUCGGGUUGUAAAGCCCUUUCGGCAGGGAAGAAAUCGGCGGGGCGAAUAACCCUGCUGGAUGACGGGUACCUGCAGAAGAAGCACCGGGCAACUUACAUGCCAGCAGCCGCGGUAAUACGUAGGGUGCGAGCGUUAAUUGGAUUUACUGGGCGUAAAGCGUGCCCCGCCGGCCCGUUAAGACAGGUGUGAAAUCCCUGGGCUCAACCUAGGAAUUGCGCUUGUGACUGGCGGGUUAGAGUACGGUAGGGGGGGGUGGAAUUCCUGGUGUAGCAGUGAAAUGCGUAGAGAUCAGGAGGAACACCGAUGGAGAAGGCAGCCCCCUGGGCCUGUACUGACGCUCAUGCAUGAAAGCGUGGGGAGCAAACAGGAUUAGAUACCCUGGUCGUCCACGCCCUAAAC